UUAAGUUAUUAAGGGCGCACGGUGGAUGCCUUGGCACUAGAAGCCGAUGAAGGACGUUACUAACGACGAUAUGCUUUGGGGAGCUGUAAGUAAGCUUUGAUCCAGAGAUUUCCGAAUGGGGAAACCCAACAUGAGUUAUGUCAUGUUAUCGAUAUGUGAAUACAUAGCAUAUCAGAAGGCACACCCGGAGAACUGAAACAUCUUAGUACCCGGAGGAAGAGAAAGAAAAUUCGAUUCCCUUAGUAGCGGCGAGCGAAACGGGAAGAGCCCAAACCAACAAGCUUGCUUGUUGGGGUUGUAGGACACUCUAUACGGAGUUACAAAGGACGACAUUAGACGAAUCAUCUGGAAAGAUGAAUCAAAGAAGGUAAUAAUCCUGUAGUCGAAAAUGUUGUCUCUCUUGAGUGGAUCCUGAGUACGACGGAGCACGUGAAAUUCCGUCGGAAUCUGGGAGGACCAUCUCCUAAGGCUAAAUACUCUCUAGUGACCGAUAGUGAACCAGUACCGUGAGGGAAAGGUGAAAAGCACCCCGGAAGGGGAGUGAAAUAGAACCUGAAACCGUGUGCUUACAAGUAGUCAGAGCCCGUUAAUGGGUGAUGGCGUGCCUUUUGUAGAAUGAACCGGCGAGUUACGAUUUGAUGCAAGGUUAAGCAGUAAAUGUGGAGCCGUAGCGAAAGCGAGUCUGAAUAGGGCGUUUAGUAUUUGGUCGUAGACCCGAAACCAGGUGAUCUACCCUUGGUCAGGUUGAAGUUCAGGUAACACUGAAUGGAGGACCGAACCGACUUACGUUGAAAAGUGAGCGGAUGAACUGAGGGUAGCGGAGAAAUUCCAAUCGAACCUGGAGAUAGCUGGUUCUCUCCGAAAUAGCUUUAGGGCUAGCCUCAAGUGAUGAUUAUUGGAGGUAGAGCACUGUUUGGACGAGGGGCCCCUCUCGGGUUACCGAAUUCAGACAAACUCCGAAUGCCAAUUAAUUUAACUUGGGAGUCAGAACAUGGGUGAUAAGGUCCGUGUUCGAAAGGGAAACAGCCCAGACCACCAGCUAAGGUCCCAAAAUAUAUGUUAAGUGGAAAAGGAUGUGGCGUUGCCCAGACAACUAGGAUGUUGGCUUAGAAGCAGCCAUCAUUUAAAGAGUGCGUAAUAGCUCACUAGUCGAGUGACACUGCGCCGAAAAUGUACCGGGGCUAAACAUAUUACCGAAGCUGUGGAUUGUCCUUUGGACAAUGGUAGGAGAGCGUUCUAAGGGCGUUGAAGCAUGAUCGNUUACAAAGGACGACAUUAGACGAAUCAUCUGGAAAGAUGAAUCAAAGAAGGUAAUAAUCCUGUAGUCGAAAAUGUUGUCUCUCUUGAGUGGAUCCUGAGUACGACGGAGCACGUGAAAUUCCGUCGGAAUCUGGGAGGACCAUCUCCUAAGGCUAAAUACUCUCUAGUGACCGAUAGUGAACCAGUACCGUGAGGGAAAGGUGAAAAGCACCCCGGAAGGGGAGUGAAAUAGAACCUGAAACCGUGUGCUUACAAGUAGUCAGAGCCCGUUAAUGGGUGAUGGCGUGCCUUUUGUAGAAUGAACCGGCGAGUUACGAUUUGAUGCAAGGUUAAGCAGUAAAUGUGGAGCCGUAGCGAAAGCGAGUCUGAAUAGGGCGUUUAGUAUUUGGUCGUAGACCCGAAACCAGGUGAUCUACCCUUGGUCAGGUUGAAGUUCAGGUAACACUGAAUGGAGGACCGAACCGACUUACGUUGAAAAGUGAGCGGAUGAACUGAGGGUAGCGGAGAAAUUCCAAUCGAACCUGGAGAUAGCUGGUUCUCUCCGAAAUAGCUUUAGGGCUAGCCUCAAGUGAUGAUUAUUGGAGGUAGAGCACUGUUUGGACGAGGGGCCCCUCUCGGGUUACCGAAUUCAGACAAACUCCGAAUGCCAAUUAAUUUAACUUGGGAGUCAGAACAUGGGUGAUAAGGUCCGUGUUCGAAAGGGAAACAGCCCAGACCACCAGCUAAGGUCCCAAAAUAUAUGUUAAGUGGAAAAGGAUGUGGCGUUGCCCAGACAACUAGGAUGUUGGCUUAGAAGCAGCCAUCAUUUAAAGAGUGCGUAAUAGCUCACUAGUCGAGUGACACUGCGCCGAAAAUGUACCGGGGCUAAACAUAUUACCGAAGCUGUGGAUUGUACUUUGGACAAUGGUAGGAGAGCGUUCUAAGGGCGUUGAAGCAUGAUCGUAAGGACAUGUGGAGCGCUUAGAAGUGAGAAUGCCGGUGUGAGUAGCGAAAGACGGGUGAGAAUCCCGUCUACCGAUUGACUAAGGUUUCCAGAGGAAGGCUCGUCCGCUCUGGGUUAGUCGGGUCCUAAGCUGAGGCCGACAGGCGUAGGCGAUGGAUAACAGGUUGAUAUUCCUGUACCACCUAUAAUCGUUUUAAUCGAUGGGGGGACGCAGUAGGAUAGGCGAAGCGUGCGAUUGGAUUGCACGUCUAAGCAGUAAGGCUGAGUAUUAGGCAAAUCCGGUACUCAUUAAGGCUGAGCUGUGAUGGGGAGAAGACAUUGUGUCUUCGAGUCGUUGAUUUCACACUGCCGAGAAAAGCCUCUAGAUAGAAAAUAGGUGCCCGUACCGCAAACCGACACAGGUAGUCAAGAUGAGAAUUCUAAGGUGAGCGAGCGAACUCUCGUUAAGGAACUCGGCAAAAUGACCCCGUAACUUCGGGAGAAGGGGUGCUCUUUAGGGUUAACGCCCAGAAGAGCCGCAGUGAAUAGGCCCAAGCGACUGUUUAUCAAAAACACAGGUCUCUGCUAAACCGUAAGGUGAUGUAUAGGGGCUGACGCCUGCCCGGUGCUGGAAGGUUAAGAGGAGUGGUUAGCUUCUGCGAAGCUACGAAUCGAAGCCCCAGUAAACGGCGGCCGUAACUAUAACGGUCCUAAGGUAGCGAAAUUCCUUGUCGGGUAAGUUCCGACCCGCACGAAAGGCGUAACGAUUUGGGCACUGUCUCAACGAGAGACUCGGUGAAAUCAUAGUACCUGUGAAGAUGCAGGUUACCCGCGACAGGACGGAAAGACCCCGUGGAGCUUUACUGUAGCCUGAUAUUGAAAUUCGGCACAGCUUGUACAGGAUAGGUAGGAGCCUUUGAAACGUGAGCGCUAGCUUACGUGGAGGCGCUGGUGGGAUACUACCCUAGCUGUGUUGGCUUUCUAACCCGCACCACUUAUCGUGGUGGGAGACAGUGUCAGGCGGGCAGUUUGACUGGGGCGGUCGCCUCCUAAAAGGUAACGGAGGCGCUCAAAGGUUCCCUCAGAAUGGUUGGAAAUCAUUCAUAGAGUGUAAAGGCAUAAGGGAGCUUGACUGCGAGACCUACAAGUCGAGCAGGGUCGAAAGACGGACUUAGUGAUCCGGUGGUUCCGCAUGGAAGGGCCAUCGCUCAACGGAUAAAAGCUACCCCGGGGAUAACAGGCUUAUCUCCCCCAAGAGUUCACAUCGACGGGGAGGUUUGGCACCUCGAUGUCGGCUCAUCGCAUCCUGGGGCUGUAGUCGGUCCCAAGGGUUGGGCUGUUCGCCCAUUAAAGCGGUACGCGAGCUGGGUUCAGAACGUCGUGAGACAGUUCGGUCCCUAUCCGUCGUGGGCGUAGGAAAUUUGAGAGGAGCUGUCCUUAGUACGAGAGGACCGGGAUGGACAUACCUCUGGUGUACCAGUUGUCGUGCCAACGGCAUAGCUGGGUAGCUAUGUGUGGACGGGAUAAGUGCUGAAAGCAUCUAAGCAUGAAGCCCCCCUCAAGAUGAGAUUUCCCAACUUCGGUUAUAAGAUCCCUCAAAGAUGAUGAGGUUAAUAGGUUCGAGGUGGAAGCAUGGUGACAUGUGGAGCUGACGAAUACUAAUCGAUCGAAGACUUAAUCAA
rnacentral:rRNA from 1 species